AUUGAACGCUGGCGGCAGGCCUAACACAUGCAAGUCGAGCGAGCGGCGGACGGGUGAGUAAUGUAUGGGGACUGCCCGAUAGAGGGGGAUAACUACUGGAAACGGUGGCUAAUACCGCAUACUAUCGGAUAACCCAUAUGGGAUUAGCGAGUAGGUGGGGUAAAGGCUCACCUAGGCGACGAUCUCUAGCUGGGCUGAGAGGAUGAGCAGCUCCACUGGGGCUGAGACAAGUCCCAGACUCCUACGGAGGCAGAAGGGGGACAUAUUUCACGUUUGGCGCAAGCCUAAUGCAUCCAUGCCGCGGGUAUGAAGAAGGCCUUAGGGUUGUAAAGUGCUUUCAGCGGGGAGGCGUUACCCGCAGAAGAAGCACCGGCUAACUCCGUGCCAGCAGCCGCGGUAAUAC
rnacentral:rRNA from 1 species